rnacentral:rRNA from 1 species
AGCAGCCGCGGUAAUUCCAGCUCCAAUAGCGUAUAUUAAAGUUGUUGCAGUUAAAAAGCUCGUAGUUGAAUUUCGGGAUUUAUCCGUCGGUCGGGCUUUUGGGUCUGUACUGGCGUGAUGAAUUCCUACCUUCUGAAUAACCGGCAUGUCAUUAAUUUGGUGCGCUGGGGAAGCAGGACUGUUACCUUGAAAAAAUUAGAGUGCUUAAAGCAGGCUAUUGCCUGAAUACAUUAGCAUGGAAUAAUGAAAUAGGACGGCAUGGUUCUAUUUUGUUGGUUUCUAGGAUCACCGUAAUGAUUAAUAGGGAUAGUUGGGGGCAUUAGUAUUCAAUUGUCAGAGGUGAAAUUCUUGGAUUUAUUGAAGGCUAACUUCUGCGAAAGCAUUUGCCAAGGAUGUUUUCAUU